GGGGUUGUGGCUCAGUGGCAGAGUACUUGCCUCGCACGCAUGAGGCCCUGGGUUCAAAGCCUCAACACCA
rnacentral:tRNA from 1 species